rnacentral:lncRNA from 1 species
UUCCUGGUUUAUUUAUGUUUCCAAUGAAUAGAUAGCUCUAAUCAUAUACAUGAAAAAUAUUUUUUUUUCUUUUUGCAGGACUGGAAAAAGUUCACACCAAUGUAAUGUGAAGCAUUCUUGCAGUAACAGUAUUAAAUAACAGUUUUAAACAAGGAUGGUAACAGGGUUUGGUGCUUCUUUGUACACCUCUGAAACCAAACUCUUUCAAGAAUAUCAGCAGUUUUACUUGAAGUCUGUAAAAGACAAGAAAAGCACAAGAUAAUAAUUCUUCAGUCAGUGCGGCCCAGGCAAGCCAGAAGAUUGGACACUUGUGCACUAACUCAAGGACAAAAGAACCAGCUUGGAAUUGGAGAAGGUAGUCAUUGAAAUUUCAUGUAUUUGAGGCUACUCAGCUGUUGUGUUUGAAUAUUCUGUGGAAUAUCUGAAAUUGAGUAGA